AGUACUGUGAAGGAAAGGUGAAAAGAACCCCGGGAGGGGAGUGAAAAAGAACCUGAAACCAUACGCUUACAACCUGUCGGAGCCACUUAGUGUGGUGACGGCGUGCCUAUUGAAUAAUGAGCCUACGAGUUACUAAUCACUAGCGAGGUUAAGUGCAAGGAUGCACGGAGCCGAAGCGAAAGCGAGUCUGAAUAGGGCGGUUAGUUAGUGGUUGUAGACGCGAAACCUUGCGAUCUACCCUUGGUCAGGUUGAAGGUUGGGUAACACCAACUGGAGGACCGCACCAAUAAACGUUGAAAAGUUUCUGGAUGAACUGAGGGUAGGGGUGAAAGGCUAAUCAAGCUGGGAAAUAGCUCGUACUCCCCGAAAUGCCUUUAGGGGCAGCGUUGUAAUAAAGAGUCUACUGGAGGUAGAGCUACUGAUUGGAUGCGGGGGCUUCACCGCCUACCAAAUCCUGACAAACUCCGAAUGCCAGUAGUAUGAUUUACAGCAGUGAGCCACCGGGUGCUAAUGUCCGGUGACAAAAGAGGAACAACUCAGACCAACAACUAAGGUCCCCAAGAAUAUGCUAAGUUGAACUAACGAUGUUUUGUUGCAGAGACAGCUAGGAUGUUAGCUUGGAAGCAGCUAUUCAUUCAAAGAGUGCGUAACAGCUCACUAGUCGAGCGACAGAGCGUGGAUAAUGAACGGGCAUCAAGCAUAUCACCGAAGUUUUGGGCGCGAGAGCGCGGUAGGGGAGCAUUCCAUUCAGCGUCGAAGUCGGAUCGUGAGAUUCGGUGGAGCGUAUGGAAAAGCAAAUGUAGGCAUAAGUAACGAUAAAGCGGGCGAGAAACCCGCUCACCGCAAGACCAAGGUUUCCUGAUCAACGCUAAACGGAUCAGGGUUAGUCGGGACCUAAGGCUAAGCCGAACGGCGAUGUCGAUGGAUAAUCGGUUAAUAUUCCGAUACUGACAUACACCUCGAUGGAGGGACGAAGGAACGUAAGUGGUGCGAACUGACGGAAUAGUUCGUUAAAGAGUUUAGGUAUAUGGCAAGGUUAAGAGCUAUGUCAUGCUGAAUCUCGACAGUACAGAGCGUCUUCGGACAAUCUGAUAAUCCACCCAAGUCGACUUCCGAGAAAAUCUUCUAAGUUAUAGUGUAUGUUACCCGUACCGUAAACCGACACAGGUGGUCGAGGAGAGUAUCCUAAGGUGCUCGAGUGAAUCACGGUUAAGGAACUAGGCAAAUUAACCCCGUAACUUUGGGAAAAGGGGUCCCUACGCGAGUAGGGCGCAGCGAAGAGGUCCAGGCGACUGUUUAUCAAAAACACAGGGCUCUGCAAAUUCGAAAGAAGACGUAUAGGGCCUGACACCUGCCCGGUGCUGGAAGGUUAAGAGGAGAUGUCAUCGCAAGAGAAGCAUUGAAUCGAAGCCCCAGUAAACGGCGGCCGUAACUAUAACGGUCCUAAGGUAGCGAAAUUCCUUGUCGGGU
rnacentral:rRNA from 1 species